rnacentral:rRNA from 1 species
ACCUCGAUGUCGGCUCAUCUCAUCCUGGGGGUGCAGAAGCUCCCAAGGGUUUGGCUGUUCGCCAAUUAAAGUGGUACGUGAGCUGGGUUUAGACCGUCGUGAGACAGGUCGGUCCCUAUCUGCUGUGGGCGAACGAGACUUGAGCGGUUUUCUCCUUAGUACGAGAGGAUUUGGAGGGACGGACCUCUAGUGUUCCUGUUGUCACGCUCGUGGCACGGCAGGGUAGCUACGUCCGGUCAGGAUAAGCGCUGAAAGCAUCUAAGCGCGAAGCCUUCCGCAAGAUUAGGUCUCGUGGGGCGAAAGCCCCGAACCCCGCUGGAAGACGACCAGUUGAUAGGCCGGGUGUGUAAGGCGGGCAACCGUCUGAGCUAACCGGUACUAACGGGGAAAUACUUGGCCAC